UAAGCGCUGAAAGCAUCUAAGUGCGAAGCCCGCCUCAAGAUAAGAUCUCUAUUAGGGUCGUUAAAGACGAUGACGUUGAUAGGUUGCAGGUGUAAAGGUGGUAACAUCAAAGCCGAGCAAUACUAAUAACCCGAAACUUUCUUGUU
rnacentral:rRNA from 1 species